rnacentral:rRNA from 1 species
GGAGGUAGUGACAAUAAAUCACAAUGCGGGACUCAUAGUCUUGCAAUUGGAUUGAGAACAACGUACAACUCUUAUCGAUAAGCCAUUGGAGGGCAAGUCUGGUGCCAGCAGCCGCGGUAAUUCCAGCUCCAAUAGCGUAUAUUAACGUUGUUGCAGUUAAAAAGCUCGUAGUUGAAGUGAGGGAGUGUGUGGGUAUGAGAGCUAGUCUCAAGUACUUACAACCUCCCCCCUCCAAUCGGUGUAGUGGGGUAUUCAGUUAUUCUACUACUCCUUUGGUCGUUUACUGUGAGAAAAUUAGAGUGUUCAAAGCGGGCGUUUGUUUGAAUAGAUUAGCAUGGAAUAAUGAUUGAAGGCUUUCGUGUUCGAUUUGAUUGGUUUGUUCAUGGAAGCAAGGUUAAAAGGAACAGUUGGGGGUAUUCAUAUUCACUAGUUAGAGGUGAAAUUCUCGGAUUUAUGGAAGAUGAACAAGUGCGAAAGCA